AGGUGGUGGAUUUCCUCCUCUUCAAGCGGUCUCUUCUGGCAAUCACAAGCCGGGGUAAAAGGUCAACUGCCAGUCAUGGUAAAUCUCUAGCCUGAUCAACUCAGUGACCACAGCAAGAGGCGGUGGUGCUCAUGGGAUAUGGCAGCUGCAGUGCCAGAGGCCUCUCCCCAGAACAGCAUGCAUCUUGUGUGUAAAGCUUACCAGAACAUUACUUGAAACAUCCAUGCAAGGAAAAGGGUGCAUUCAAUAUCCGUAACUUUUAUUCAAAGGCGUGAGCUUGUAAGCAGUGUUUGGUAGGCUAAUUAUUUGAAGGUAGAAGGUUCACAGAUCAUAAGGAUUGAUAUGAAACCCAUUCAAAAGCAACCACCUAGCCAAUUUUUCUGCAUCCAAACCAGGAUGUUUACUAAAUCACUAUAUUGUAAUGAAUAUUUUAAUAUCUUAGUGUUUCUUCAACCUUUAUGAUACCAGAUUUCAAGUUUUUUUUUUUCAUCUUUAUAUAAAGGUCACAUUUAAACUUUUCUUAUUUUUUUACUCUUCUUAUUUUUGCUACUUGUCAAAUUGCUUGUACUGAAAUGUAUAAAUGUUAUUGUUUUUCCCUUGUCCCAGACCAUAAGUCUUAAAGUAUCAUAAAACAUUUAUUAUUUUACAAAACUUGAAACAUGAUGUGUGAAGUAAACAAAGAAAAAUAAAGGUAAAUAUCACAG